GACGAACGCUGGCGGCGUGCUUAACACAUGCAAGUCGAACGGAAAGGCCCUGCUUUUGUGGGGUGCUCGAGUGGCGAACGGGUGAGUAACACGUGAGUAACCUGCCCUUGACUUUGGGAUAACUUCAGGAAACUGGGGCUAAUACCGGAUAGGAGCUCCUGCUGCAUGGUGGGGGUUGGAAAGUUUCGGCGGUUGGGGAUGGACUCGCGGCUUAUCAGCUUGUUGGUGGGGUAGUGGCUUACCAAGGCUUUGACGGGUAGCCGGCCUGAGAGGGUGACCGGCCACAUGGGGACUGAGAUACGGCCCAGACUCCUCGGGGGGGCAGCAGUGGGGAAUAUUGCCCAAGGGGCGGAAGCCGGAGGCAGCAACGCCGGGGGCGGGAUGACGGCCUUCGGGUGGUAAACCGCUUUCGCCUGUGACGAAGCGUGAGUGACGGUAAUUGGUAAAGAAGCACCGGCUAACUACGU
rnacentral:rRNA from 1 species